rnacentral:lncRNA from 1 species
GUCUGCCUCACAGCUGUGUUUGUUUCUAUCCAAGUGUGAUGGCCCUUCUUCUUUGGCCGACCAGGAAGAGGCAGAUCAGCUUGAGGUUGUGAAGAACCACAAAUUCCCUGCAACGAGGCUUCCUACCUACUUGACAUCUGCUCUGAAGAGGUCCUGCUUGCAGACCCAUGGAGGUACCCCGCCACCUCUGAGGAAGUUCCACUUCCACGGUAGGAAAAAGCUCAUCUCUUUCUUCAUCAUGAAGAUGUGAGACUCCAUACUCCUUUUAUAACCAGAAUUUGAUUACUCCACAGUGGACUGGAAAGGUAUUAGCAGAAAUCAGUCUUGUGGGUGAGGGCAAGGAUAUG